CCUACGGGAGGCAGUAGUGGGGAAUAUUGCACAAUGGGGGAAACCCUGAUGCAGCGACGCCGCGUGAGUGAAGAAGUAUUUCGGUAUGUAAAGCUCUAUUAGCAGGGAAGAAAAUGACGGUACCCGAUUAAGAAGCCCCGGUUAACUACGUGCCAGCAGCCACGGUAAUACGUAGGGGGCAAGCGUUAUCCGGAUUUAGUGGGUGCAAAGGGGGCGUAGACGGCAGCACAAGUCUGGAGUGAAAUGCCGGGGCUUAACCCCGGAACUGCUUGGGAAACUGUGCAGCUAGAGUGCAGGAGAGGUAAGUGGAAUUCCUGGUGUAGCGGUGCAAUGCGUAGAUAUUAGGAGGAACACCAGUGGCGAAGGCGGCUUACUGGACUGUAACUGACAUUGAGGCUCGAAAGCGUGGGGAGCAAACAGGAUUAGAUACCCCGGUAGUC
rnacentral:rRNA from 1 species